UGGGGAAUUUUGCACAAUGGGGGAAACCCUGAUGCAGCGACGCCGCGUGAUUUAGAAGGCCUUCGGGUUGUAAAAAUCUUUUCUAUGGGAAGAAAAUGACAGUACCAUAGGAAUAAGGACCGGCUAAUUACGUGCCAGCAGCCGCGGUAAUACGUAAGGUCCGAGCGUUGUCCGGAAUCAUUGGGCGUAAAGGGUACGUAGGCGGGUAAGCAAGUUAGAAGUGAAAUCCUAUAGCUCAACUAUAGUAAGCUUUUAAAACUGCUCAUCUUGAGGUAUGGAAGGGAGAGUGGAAGUCCUAGUGUAGCGGUGAAAAGCGCAGAAAUUAGGAGGAAUACCGGUGGCGGAGGCGGCUUUCUGGGCAUCACCUGACGCUGAGGUGCUAAAGCGUGGGGAGCAAAAAGG
rnacentral:rRNA from 1 species